UACGAAGGGGGCUAGCGUUGUUCGGAUUUACUGGGCGUAAAGCGCGCGUAGGCGGAUCACUAAGUUAGAGGUGAAAUCCCGAGGCUUAACCUCGGAACUGCCUUUGAUACUGGCGACCUUGGAGUCCGGGAGAGGUGAGUGGAACUGCGAGUGUAGAGGUGAAAUUCGUAGAUAUUCGCAAGAACACCAGUGGCGAAGGCGGCUCACUGGCCCGGUACUGACGCUGAGGUGCGAAAGCGUGGGGAGCAAACAGG
rnacentral:rRNA from 1 species